UCCUUAGGCGAGCUCAGCGGGGACGGAACCUCCCGUGGAGCAGAAAGACAAAAGCCCUCUUGAUCCUCAUUGUCAGUGCAAAUCCAGACCAUAAAGGCAG
rnacentral:rRNA from 1 species